rnacentral:rRNA from 1 species
ACGAAGGGGGCUAGCGUUGUUCGGAAUUACUGGGCGUAAAGCGCGCGCAGGCGGCCAUUCAAGUCAGGGGUGAAAGCCCAGAGCUCAACUCUGGAACUGCCCUUGAAACUGUAUGGCUUGAGUAUGAGAGAGGUGAGUGGAAUUCCCAGUGUAGAGGUGAAAUUCGUAGAUAUCAGGAGGAACACCGGUGGCGAAGGCGGGUCUCUGGGCCGAUACUGACGCUGAGGAGCGAAAGCGUGGGGAGCAAACAGGA